rnacentral:lncRNA from 1 species
CGCAGUCGCUGUGUAACACGGGCCAGCACCUGCAGCUGCCAGCGCAGUCGCGAUGGGACGUGCCGGAGCCAUGUGUGACGGUGUGGUCCCGGUGAUUGUGCUUGUCCUGCUGCUGGCCACUGUGGCUGUCUGGUGGGCCGUUGGCCACUGGCAACCACGGAGGCGGCAGACAAGGACAGCGAAGAGGCGCAAGCGCCCCGGGGUGCAGCCCAGAGGCUCACGGAGGAAGCGAGGAGCCCCUGCGGCUCCCAGGUCCUCCAGGCCUCGGGCGACCCCUCGCAAGCGGCCACGUGCUCCCGCGAGCCCCCUGCACAGCCCCUGCAGCUGCGGCCCCUGCGUGGCAGUGGCCCAGGAGCUGCAGGAACUGAUGCUGCUGCUCUGGGCUCGCAAUGGGACAUGGGUGCCGCUCUACUCUGGGAUGUGGCAGGCGUUGUGGAAAGAACUGGAGGAGCUGCUGAAGCGAGGCCACCUGCCCUGCUGUGGCUCGUCCAGCUCCUCCAGGAGCCUCCAUCCCUUCAAGAGGCUGCUCCCAGCAAGAUUCUCCAUCCCUGGGAGAGCCUCAAGCCUUGCAAGGACGGCACACCAUCAGAGACCCGCCACCCAGGCAAGAAGCUCAGGCUGUCAGAGAUCCUCCAUCCUGCCAGGAGCGUCCGCUAUCUCUGACAGCCUCCAUCCCCCGCAGACGCUCAGUGAGACCUGUCAGCCUGCAGAAGAUGCAGAGCCUGUGCACAGGUCUCCCAGCUCCCUUGGACUCAGGGACUUCAACAACACGGGCGCAACCCUGACAACUGACGUUGCCACGGAAAGCCCAGGGGUCCAAGUGGGAGCCCAGCCCGAUCCAGGGGAGCCUUCUCAGGAGCAGGUGGCGGAGCAGCGAGUGAGCUGGAGCCAGCAGUUGCCGGCCCACAGCUCCCAGGACGCUGUGCCGGCUGUGCCAGCUGGCAACAGCCCGUGCCUGGUGGCGGAGACGACCCUCAAGACACCCAGGAGGUCCCUCCAUCUCCAGGAAGCUGCUCCGAGACGGCCACCGACUACCAGGAAGGCCUUUCUGGUAGCAGCUGCUCCUGACACCCCCCUGUGCGAGUCCUCGGGCUGUAGCCCCGGCCGUCCUCAACAGCAGAGUCCAGCCCACGACGCCGGGGACAGCGACGGUGCCGCCCUGCCCCGCUGCCCUCCGGCUCCUGCAGCCGCCUCUGCGCGCUCCCCUGCCCCAGCUCUGCCGCUCGCCAGCCCGACGGCCGCAAGGCGGUGGCCGCUGCCCGGCGCGCAGCAGGAAGCAGGUCAGAGCAACGUGGCCCGCGGUGGCUCGGCCCGCUUCACUCGCGGGCACUCGGCCGGGGGGGCCCUGGGCGCAAGGCUGAUGGCUCGGUCUCGGUCGCAGGGCAAAAGAAGAAGCUGCAGGAGCUGUACCAGCUGGGCCCGCAGCUGGGCAGCGGUGGCUUCGGCACCGUUUUCUCGGGCAUCCGCCUCUCGGACGGGAGCCCGGUAA